rnacentral:rRNA from 1 species
CCUACGGGAGGCUGCAGUAAGGAAUAUUGGUCAAUGGAGGCAACUCUGAACCAGCCAUGCCGCGUGCAGGAAGACGGCCUAUGGGUUGUAAACUGCUUUUAUCUGGGAAUAUGUACCAGAAGAAUAAGGAUCGGCUAACUCAGUGCCAGCAGCCGCGGGAAUACGGAGGAUCCAAGCGUUAUCCGGAUUUAUUGGGUUUAAAGGGUGCGUAGGCGGCCUAUUAAGUCAGAGGUGAAAGACGGUAGCUCAACUAUCGCAGUGCCUUUGAUACUGAUGGGCUUGAAUAAACUAGAGGUAGGCGGAAUGAGACAAGUAGCGGUGAAAUGCAUAGAUAUGUCUCAGAACACCGAUUGCGAAGGCAGCUUACUAUGGUUUAUUGACGCUGAGGCACGAAAGCGUGGGGAUCAAACAGGAUUAGAUACCCCUGUAGUC